rnacentral:siRNA from 1 species
UGCGGUUCUAGUUCUUAUGCCUA